CUUUGGAAAACUGAAACUAGGAAACGUGUCAACUUCAUUACAAUGUGACAUCAGACUUAAUUUACAUUUUUAAUAGAUGUAUCGUGUCUUGAUUACAUGCACUCAUUAGACUGUCAGUUACGUGGCAGUAAAGCAAAAACAUUGGGUGUGUAGAAGAAAUCCGUAUUUUACAAGAGGAUAAUUUCUGCUGAGAUAGUGGAUGAAAAUGCGCCAACUGAAGGGAAAAGUGAAGGAGAAUCGAAAGGAGAAAAGAGAGAGGAAACUAGAAAAUCUGAAAAAUCAUGAAAAUGCACUGAAAAUUUGCCUUCCUGUUCUCUUAGUUAUUGCUGCAAUUAUUGUGGCUUAUGUCUAUGUUUCU